GGCUUUGUGGCUCAGCUGAUAGAGCGUUUGCUGCGUUUCUGCAUGUUGUUUCUGUCGCUGGUUCGAAUCCAGCCGAAGUCC
rnacentral:tRNA from 1 species